rnacentral:rRNA from 1 species
GUAGGGUGCAAGCGUUAUCCGGAUUUACUGGGCGUAAAGGGUUGCGUAGGCGGUUUGUUAAGUCAAAACUCAAAUCCUUCAGCCUAACUGGAGAUCGGGUUUUGAUACUAGCAGACUCAGAGUCUUAGAGAGGUAGCUGGAACUUGCAAUGGAGCGGUGAAAUGCGUUGAUAUUGCAAGGAACACCGAUGGCGUAGGCAAGCUACUGGCUGAGUACUGACGCUGAUGCACGAAAGCUAGGGGAGCGAAAGGGAUUAGAGACCCCUGUAGUCCUAGCCGUAAACGAUAGACACUAGAUGCCAGGCAUUUUGCUGGGUGUCGCAAGCUAACGCGUUAAGUGUCCCGCCUGGGGAGUACGGUCGCAAGACUA